GAUGAAGAACGCAGCGAAAUGCGAUACGUAAUGUGAAUUGCAGAAUUCAGUGAAUCAUCGAAUCUUUGAACGCAUAUUGCGCUCUCUGGUAUUCCGGAGAGCAUGCUUGUUUGAGUAUCAGUAAACACCUCAACUCCCUUUUCUUUUUUGAAAUUGGAGCUGGACUUGAGUGAUCCCAACGCUUUCUUCCAAGAAAGUGGCGGGUUGCUUGAAAUGCAGGUGCAGCUGAACUUUUCUCUGAGCUAUAAGCAUAUCUAUUUAGUCUGCCUAAAAAACAGAUUAUUACGUUUGCUGCAGCUAACAUAAAGGAGACUAGUUCUUGUGCUGACUGAUGCAGGAUUCACAGAGACAGCUUCGGCUGACUUUGUAAACUCGAUCUCAAAUCAAGUAAGACUACCCGCUGAACUUAAGCAUAUCAAUAAGCGGAGGA
rnacentral:misc_RNA from 1 species